CCUGGCAAAAGACGUAAAUGAACGCUCCUAUAUCAAACCAUAUAAAAGUAAGCAAUUUUUGCAUCAACUGUCAAAACUUUCCAACUUGCCGUGUGCGAAGGAAGGAUCAGCUACCUUUUUUUCACGUAACCACAGAGAGAGAGAGUAAGAAUAUAUUUGAUUCAAAAGACCCUUUCUUUUGGUGAACUAUACGAAGCCAAGCAUGAAUACGACAACGCUGAAAUUAUUGUUUUUACUUGGAGUGGUAACGUGUGUGCUUCUCGAAGUGACCGCACGAAUGGUUGAGCAACCCUGGGAAUAUAAUGAUGGCUACACUGACGAUCGCUACCAAGACAUGGCUGAUAGUUACGAGCGAAAAGCCAAUCAGCCUCUCAGAUAUGGCAAGAGAAGAGUCCGUGGCAAGCAUUUGAAUGUCGCUAGAGACCACGCCUUACAUAAAGAACCUUUCAAUCCACCGCCUUACGCCGGCUAUCAGAGCAAAAAUCUAGGAGGGAAAUAAAAGAAGCACAAACUCUUGAUACUUUGGAUGCAGUGAAGACGGUGAAAACAGACUUUAUUUUCUACUGUAAAUUGUUGAGUUGGUCGUCACGAGGACAAUCUUAAUGAUUUAAUACUAUAUAUAAACUAUAUAAUUAUGUAACUGUAAGAAAAUAUUUAAUCAUCUAUUAAAACUAUAUAAAGUCUAUGUUAUGAAUUGACUUAAAUGUAAAAAGUUGCAAUUAGCGCAGAAUUAAAAUAUUUAAAGCUUA